CAAGUACAACUCACCACCACCACCGGUUUACAAGUACAAGUCCUCUCCUCCCCCAGUUCAUCACCCCUCACCAAUUUACAAGUACAACUCACCACCUCCACCAGUUUACAAGUACAAGUCGCCUCCUCCCCCAGUCCAUUACCCCUCACCGGUUUACAAGUCCAACUCACCACCUCCACCAGUUUACAAGUACAAGUCGCCUCCUCCCCCAGUCCAUUACCCCUCACCGGUUUACAAGUACAACUCACCACCUCCACCAGUUUACAAGUACAACUCACCUCCACCUCCCUCACCAGUUUACAAAUACAACUCACCGCCUCCACCGGUCCAUCAUGACUCAACCCCAUAUUACUAUAAGUCACCUCCACCUCCUUCACCGGUUUACAAAUACAACUCACCACCUCCACCGGUUCAUCAUGAUUCUCCCCCAUAUUACUACAAGUCACCCCCACCUCCCUCACCGGUUUACAAAUACAACUCACCACCUCCACCGGUUUAUCGUGAUUCUCCCCCAUAUUACUACAAGUCACCUCCACCUCCCUCACCGGUUUACAAGUACAACUCACCACCUCCACCGGUUCAUCGUGAUUCUCCCCCAUAUUACUACAAGUCACCUCCACCCCCCUCACCGGUUUACAAGUACAACUCACCACCUCCACUAGUCCAUUAUUAUUCUCCUCCAUACUACUACAAGUCACCUCCUCCUCCAGUCAAAUCGCCACCACCUCCAUAUUAUUACAAGUCCCCACCUCCACCUUCACCCUCUCCUCCUCCUCCAUACUAUUAUAAAUCUCCUCCACCACCUUCACCAUCCCCUCCACCACCUUAUUAUUACAAAUCUCCUCCUCCACCCAAAGCAAUAUCACACCCUCCAUACUACUACAAGUCACCACCCCCACCAUCACCAUCACCUCCUCCACCAUACUAUUAUAAGUCCCCACCACCACCAUCACCAUCUCCGCCACCACCUUACUAUUAUAAAUCACCUCCUCCACCUAAAGAGAUUUCAAACCCACCAUACUACUAUAAGUCACCACCUCCACCGUCACCAUCCCCUCCACCACCUUACUAUUACAAAUCUCCACCACCACCAUCACCAUCACCACCACCUCCCUACUAUUACAAAUCUCCACCACCUCCAUCACCAUCUCCACCCCCUCCCUAUUAUUACAAAUCACCUCCACCACCCUCACCAUCACCGCCACCUCCUUACUAUUACAAAUCUCCCCCACCUCCAUCUCCAUCUCCACCACCUCCUUAUCACUAUCAAAGUCCUCCUCCGCCAUCUCCCGUUUCUCAUC
rnacentral:lncRNA from 1 species